UACGACAACAUCACGUCGAAACACCGGUUCCCGUACUAUCGUCGAAGUUAAGCAACGUCGAGCUUGGUCACUACCUAGAUGGGUGACCGCUUGGGAAUACCAGGUGCUGUAC
rnacentral:rRNA from 1 species